rnacentral:rRNA from 1 species
AUACGUAGGGGGCGAGCGUUGUCCGGAAUGAUUGGGCGUAAAGGGCGCGUAGGCGGCGCGGUAAGUCUGGAGUGAAAGUCCUGCUUUCAAGGUGGGAAUUGCUUUGGAUACUGCCGCGCUUGAGUGCAGGAGAGGUUAUCGGAAUUCCCGGUGUAGCGGUGAAAUGCGUAGAGAUCGGGAGGAACACCAGUGGCGAAGGCGGGUAACUGGACUGCAACUGACGCUGAGGCGCGAAAGUGUGGGGAGCAAACAGGAUUAGAUACCCUGGUAGUCCACACUGUAAACGAUGAAUGCUAGGUGUAAGAGGUAGCGACCCCUUUUGUGCCGGAGUCAACACAAUAAGCAUUCCGCCUGGGGAGUACGGCCGCAAGGUUGAAACUCAAAUGAAUUGGCGGGG